CUCAAAUAAAUGUUUCAAGUAGCCGACAUUUUGAAACACUGAAGCCAUCGAAUAAUAUCCGCGGAACGAUAUCUUUUUGCCUUGGAAAAUGUUUCAUAGGACGCGGCUUACCAGUAGCCAUAUGUUUAUAUUACCUUCUUGGAGUUUUGGCUUUUGGUGUUUUAAGAACAAACAACAUAACGGAUUCGCUUUCGUUUCCAUUGGAGUUUACUUCAGCUGGUGGUUUGGAAUUUGUUGAAAGCUCUACAAGAGUGUUAUACGGCUUAUACACAGAGGGCGCCAUGUGUUUGAUGGCUUAUACAUUGGCAACGAUUAGACGAUACGGUAGCGACACCAUCACAGAUGUCGCUAACAACUAUAGACUGCUUGUAACAGAUCAAUAACAAGAUUGUUAGUUAAUUCAUUUUCUACAAAAGGACGUU